GAGUUUGAUCCUGGCUCAGAACGAACGCUGGCGGCAAGCCUAACACAUGCAAGUCGAACGGACAAUUGCUUAUAACCUUUUGGUUAUAAAUAAUUGUUAGUGGCAGACGGGUGAGUAAUGCGUAGGAAUCUACCUAGUAGUAUGGAAUAGCCAUUAGAAAUGAUGGGUAAUACUGUAUAAUCCCUGCGGGGGAAAGAUUUAUCGCUAUUAGAUGAGCCUACGUUAGAUUAGCUAGUUGGUAAGGUAAUGGCUUACCAAGGCUAUGAUCUAUAGCUGGUCUGAGAGGACGAUCAGCCACACUGGAACUGAGAUACGGUCCAGACUCCUACGGGAGGCAGCAGUGGGGAAUAUUGGACAAUGGGCGAAAGCCUGAUCCAGCUAUGCCGCGUGAGUGAAGAAGGCCUUCGGGUUGUAAAACUCUUUCAAUAGGGAAGAUAAUGACGGUACCUAUAGAAGAAGUCCCGGCAAACUCUGUGCCAGCAGCCGCGGUAAUACGGAGGGGGCAAGCGUUGUUCGGAAUUAUUGGGCGUAAAGGGCACGUAGGUGGACUAGUAAGUUAAAAGUGAAAUACCAAGGCUUAACUUUGGAGCGGCUUUUAAUACUGCUAGACUAGAGGUCGAAAGAGGAUAGCGGAAUUCCUAGUGUAGAGGUGAAAUUCGUAGAUAUUAGGAGGAACACCAGUGGCGAAAGCGGCUAUCUGGUUCGAUACUGACACUGAGGUGCGAAAGCGUGGGGAGCAAACAGGAUUAGAUACCCUGGUAGUCCACGCUGUAAACGAUGAGUGCUAAAUGUGAGGAUUUUAUCUUUGUAUUGUAGCUAACGCGUUAAGCACUCCGCCUGGGGACUACGGUCGCAAGACUAAAACUCAAAGGAAUUGACGGGGACCCGCACAAGCGGUGGAGCAUGUGGUUUAAUUCGAUGCAACGCGAAAAACCUUACCACUUUUUGACAUGAAGGUCGUAUCCCUCCUAAUAGGGGGAGUCAGUUCGGCUGGACCUUACACAGGUGCUGCAUGGCUGUCGUCAGCUCGUGUCGUGAGAUGUUGGGUUAAGUCCCGCAACGAGCGCAACCCUCAUCCUUAGUUACCAACAGGUAAUGCUGGGCACUCUAAGGAAACUGCCAGUGAUAAACUGGAGGAAGGUGGGGAUGAUGUCAAGUCAGCACGGCCCUUAUAAGGUGGGCUACACACGUGCUACAAUGGCAACUACAAUAGGUCGCGAGACCGCAAGGUUUAGCUAAUCCAUAAAAGUUGUCUCAGUUCGGAUUGUUCUCUGCAACUCGAGAGCAUGAAGUCGGAAUCGCUAGUAAUCGUGGAUCAUCAUGCCACGGUGAAUACGUUCUCGGGUCUUGUACACACUGCCCGUCACGCCAUGGGAAUUGGCUUAACUCGAAGCUGGUGUGCUAACCGCAAGGAAGCAGCCAUUUAAGGUUGGGUUAGUGACUAGGGUGAAGUCGUAACAAGGUAGCUGUAGGUGAACCUGCGGCUGGAUUACCUCCUUUUAGGCUUUCUUAUCUAAUGUUAUUUUUUAGUAAUGUUUUGAUAAGCUGCUACGCCGUCUUUAUUUCUAUUUUGUCUAAUUGUUUUGUCUAAAUGGUUAAGGGUGUAGUUAAUCUUUAUCCUGUAAUUAGGCAUAAAUUUCUUUUAUUUUUAUGAAAUUUGAUAAUGUCAAAAGUUAGGCCUUUAUCACCGCAUUUACAAAUAUACAAAGUUGUAUAUAAGCUUUCUAUUAUGCAUAGGUUUACUGGUAUGAUACUAUUUUUAGGUCUGCUGGUUCUAUCAUGGGGUUUUAUUCUUUCUUUUUUAUGUCCUCAAGUAGUAUAUAGAAUUUGUAGUUUUUUUUGUAAUUCUUAUGUUUCAUUAUAUUCUCUAAAGUUAAUAACUUUUAUUUGGUUGAAUGUAUUGUGCUACCAUUAUAUGAAUGGUAUAAGGCAUAUUUUCUGGGAUUUAGGAUUGGGUUUGAGUAAAUCUGCGGUGAGAACUACGGGAGUGGUAGUUGUUUUUUUAUGUCUAGUCUCAUCUUUUAUACUUUAUAGUUUUUUCUUAAGUUAAUGAUAUAAAAUUAUGGUUAGUCAUUCAGUUUAUCAUUGGUUAAUUCAAAGGGUUACGGCUUUUGUUUUAAUUCCUCUUUCUCUGUGGUUUUUAUUUAAGGUUCUUGGUGUUAUUUCUAUAAUACUUAAAUCUUUUCCAGAACUUCAUUUGUCUAUUUCAAAUAUAAGUAAUACUGAUCUUAUUAUUUUAUUAUGCUUUUUUAUCUCUGCAUUUUAUCAUGCGGUUCUAGGUGUACAGGUUAUAUUAGAAGAUUAUAUACAUUCUGUUGUGUUAAGAGCAUCUGUAUUUCUUGUUAUUAAAGGAAUUGUGAUUUUAACUGUGUUGUUUUUAACAUUUAUAAUUUUAUAUAGUGUACUGUUAGGAUAUUAAUUCUGUUCAUUUUUUAUAUUUAGAUGAAUAAGGGUUUUGAUAGAUAAUUUCCCUGUGUGUUGUAAGCUAAAUAUUUUUUAUUAGUUUUUAUAUAAUAUUUCAAUUGUUUUUUAUCUUCUUUAUGUUCUUUAUAUUAAAUAUUUUUGAUAUUAAUUUUUUUACUAUUGUAUAAUAUAGUUAAGUAGGUGUUUUUGUAAUAUUAGUGUUGAUAAGAUAUGUUUAGUAAUAUUUUUAGGGCUAUUAGGGGUGGUGUUAGAGCUAUACCAUCUACUCCAUUGAAGAUAUUUAAUGGUGUACGUACAGUAUAUGGUUUUUUUGGUGUUA
rnacentral:rRNA from 3 species